rnacentral:rRNA from 1 species
AGUGAACGCUGGCGGUAGACCUAACACAUGCAAGUCGAACGGCAGCACAGUAAGAGCUUGCUCUUACGGGUGGCGAGUGGCGGACGGGUGAGGAAUACAUCGGAAUCUACUUUUUCGUGGGGGAUAACGUAGGGAAACUUACGCUAAUACCGCAUACGACCUACGGGUGAAAGCAGGGGAUCUUCGGACCUUGCUCGAUUGAAUGAGCCGAUGUCGGAUUAGCUAGUUGGCGGGGUAAAGGCCCACCAAGGCGACGAUCCGUAGCUGGUCUGAGAGGAUGAUCAGCCACACUGGAACUGAGACACGGUCCAGACUCCUACGGGAGGCAGCAGUGGGGAAUAUUGGACAAUGGGCGCAAGCCUGAUCCAGCCAUACCGCGUGGGUGAAGAAGGCCUUCGGGUUGUAAAGCCCUUUUGUUGGGAAAGAAAAGCAGCAGGUUAAUACCCCGCUGUUCUGACGGUACCCAAAGAAUAAGCACCGGCUAACUUCGUG